rnacentral:rRNA from 1 species
AACGAACGCUGGCGGCAGGCCUAACACAUGCAAGUCGAGCGCCCCGCAAGGGGAGCGGCAGACGGGUGAGUAACGCGUGGGAAUCUACCCAUCUCUACGGAAUAACGCAUGGAAACGUGUGCUAAUACCGUAUACGUCCUUCGGGAGAAAGAUUUAUCGGAGAUGGAUGAGCCCGCGUUGGAUUAGCUAGUCGGUGGGGUAAAGGCCUACCAAGGCGACGAUCCAUAGCUGGUCUGAGAGGAUGAUCAGCCACACUGGGACUGAGACACGGCCCAGACUCCUACGGGAGGCAGCAGUGGGGAAUAUUGGACAAUGGGCGCAAGCCUGAUCCAGCCAUGCCGCGUGAGUGAUGAAGGCCCUAGGGUUGUACAGCUCUUUCACCGGUGAAGAUAAUGACGGUAACCGGAGAAGAAGCCCCGGCUAACUUCGUGCCAGCAGCCGCCGUAAGAC